CUAAAAGCAUGCAAUGGAGGAAGGAUAGCAUCUUCAACAAAUGGUGCUGGGAAAACUGGAAAUCCAUAUGCAACAAAAUGAAACUGAAUCCCCUUCUCUCGCCAUGCACAAAAGUUAACUCAAAAUGGAUCAAGGAGCUUGAUAUCAAAUCAGAGACUCUGCGUCUGAUAGAAGAAAAAGUUGGCUCCGAUCUACAUAUUGUGGGGUCAGGCUCCAAAUUCCUUAAUAGGACACCCAUAGCACAAGAGUUAAUAACAAGAAUCAACAAAUGGGACUUACUUAAACUAAAAAGUUUUU
rnacentral:lncRNA from 1 species